GACGGAUGGGGCUAGCGUUGUUCGGAAUUACUGGGCGUAAAGGGCGCGUAGGCGGCCAAUUAAGUUAGACGUGAAAGCCCUGGGCUUAACCUAGGAACUGCGUUUAAUACUGGUUGGCUUGAGUAUGGUAGAGGAAAGCGGAAUUCCUAGUGUAGAGGUGAAAUUCGUAGAUAUUAGGAAGAACACCAGAGGCGAAGGCGGCUUUCUGGGCCAUUACUGACGCUGAGGCGCGAAAGCGUGGGGAGCAAACAGG
rnacentral:rRNA from 1 species